CAUUACCGAGUUUACAACUCCCAAACCCAUGUGAACAUACCUACUGUUGCUUCGGCGGGAUUGCCCCGGGCGCCUCGUGUGCCCCGGAUCAGGCGCCCGCCUAGGAAACUUAAUUCUUGUUUUAUUUUGGAAUCUUCUGAGUAGUUUUUACAAAUAAAUAAAAACUUUCAACAACGGAUCUCUUGGUUCUGGCAUCGAUGAAGAACGCAGCGAAAUGCGAUAAGUAAUGUGAAUUGCAGAAUUCAGUGAAUCAUCGAAUCUUUGAACGCACAUUGCGCCCGCCAGUAUUCUGGCGGGCAUGCCUGUCUGAGCGUCAUUUCAACCCUCAUGCCCCUAGGGCGUGGUGUUGGGGAUCGGCCAAAGCCCGCGAGGGACGGCCGGCCCCUAAAUCUAGUGGCGGACCCGUCGUGGCCUCCUCUGCGAAGUAGUGAUAUUCCGCAUCGGAGAGCGACGAGCCCCUGCCGUUAAACCCCCAACUUUCCAAGGUUGACCUCAGAUCAGGUAGGAAUACCCGCUGAACUUAAGCAUAUCAAUA
rnacentral:rRNA from 1 species